rnacentral:rRNA from 1 species
GAUGAACGCUAGCGGCAGGCCUAACACAUGCAAGUCGAGGGGUAGAGUUCUUCGGGACUUGAGACCGGCGCACGGGUGCGUAACGCGUAUGCAAUCUACCUUAUACAGGGGGAAUAGCCCCAGAGAAGUUUGGAUUAAUGCCCCCAUAGUGUUAUCGAAUCGCAUGGUUUGAUAACUAAAGUUCCAACGGUAUAAGAUGAGCAUGCGUCCCAUUAGUUAGUUGGGUAAGGUAACGGCUUACCAAGACAAUGAUGGGUAGGGGUCCUGAGAGGGAGAUCCCCCCACACUGGUACUGAGACACGGACCAGACUCCUACGGGAGGCAGCAGUGAGGAAUAUUGGACAAUGGGCGCAAGCCUGA